rnacentral:rRNA from 1 species
GGGUAUCUAAUCCUGUUUGAUACCUACACUUUCGUCCCUCAACGUCAGUUUUUACUAAAGAAUCGACUUCACCGACGGUGUUCCUUCAUGUGUCUACGAUAGUUUACUUCCCAACAUGAAAUUCUAUUCUUCUGAUUUAAACUCAAGUAUAGUAGUAUUAAAUGGAUUUUCUAAAGUUGAGCUUUAGAAUUUAACAAAUAACUUACAAUACAAUCUACGGACCCUUUACGCCCAGUUAUUUCGGAUAACGCUUGCCCCUCCCGUAUUACCGCGGCUGCUGGCACGAGAUUAGCCGGGACUAAAAACUUCUGUAAAUAAUGUCAUUAUCAUUUUUUACCGAAAGAAUUUUACAACCAAAUAGCCGUCAUCAUUCACAUAGUAUUGCUGGAUCAAACUUUCGUUCAUUGUCCAAUAUUCCUCACUGCUGGCUAAAUAUUAGCCUGGACCUUGUCUCAGUUCCAGUGUGGUUGAUCGUCCUCUCAGACCAACUAAAGAUCAUAGGCUUGGAUUUGCUGUUACCAUACCCAACUACCUAAUCUUACGCAUACGCAUCUUCUAGCGGGUUACUUUUAAUUACCCUUUUAAUUGAAUAAUAUUAACAAUUUAUUGAUCGUAAUUUUCAAAACUAAUCAAUUUGUUUUAUCUUAAACUAGAAGGCAGCGUUAUACGCGGUUCCUCACCCGUCCGCCACUAAAAACUCGUUUUAGUAAGACUCGCAUGUGUAAAGCAUACUAUUAGCGUUCAUCCUGAGCCAGGAUCAAACUCU